AUUGAAGCAUUUGAGAAAGUAAUCAGUUCCCCACUUAAUAAUAUCUUUGACAUGAUUGAGCUCCCCAGCUGCUUCAUACUUAGCACUGUACUCUAUAACGCUCCAGCUCAGCAUGGUCAUAGCAAAAGAAGCAGGGAAGUUGAACUUAAUAGCAUCUCCGGCGUCGUAAUACCCACCAGCCAGAUCUUUGAAAAUCGUACCCGUCGCCGAUUUCCCAUCAUUUACACAAGAAUUACCUCUCCACGACACGUUAUUGUGCUUUGGAAGUUUCCCAGAUCGUUGGGCAUU
rnacentral:misc_RNA from 1 species